rnacentral:rRNA from 1 species
UGGUGGACAGUUACUUGGAUAACUGUGGUAAUUCUAGAGCUAAUACAUGCAACUCGGUCCCGACCGGAAGCGGAAGGGACGCUUUUAUUAKAUCAAAAUCAAUCGGGCGCUCSCGUCCGUUUGCCUUGGUGACUCUGAAUAAAUUGUGGCAGAUCGCACGGUCUCCGUACCGGCGACGCAUCUUUCAAAUGUCUGCCUUAUCAACUGUCGAUGGUAGGUUCUGCGCCUACCAUGGUUGUAACGGGUAACGGGGAAUCAGGGUUCGAUUCCGGAGAGGGAGCCUGAGAAACGGCUACCACAUCCAAGGAAGGCAGCAGGCGCGCAAAUUACCCACUCCCGGCACGGGGAGGUAGUGACGAAAAAUAACGAUACGGGACUCAUCCGAGGCCCCGUAAUCGGAAUGAGCACACUUUAAAUCCUUUAACGAGUAUCCAUUGGAGGGCAAGUCUGGUGCCAGCAGCCGCGGUAAUUCCAGCUCCAAUAGCGUAU